rnacentral:rRNA from 1 species
AGUGAACGCUGGCGGUAGGCCUAACACAUGCAAGUCGAACGGCAGCACAGGAGAGCUUGCUCUCUGGGUGGCGAGUGGCGGACGGGUGAGGAAUACAUCGGAAUCUACUCUGUCGUGGGGGAUAACGUAGGGAAACUUACGCUAAUACCGCAUACGACCUACGGGUGAAAGCAGGGGACCUUCGGGCCUUGCGCGAUUGAAUGAGCCGAUGUCGGAUUAGCUAGUUGGCGGGGUAAAGGCCCAACAAGGCGACGAUCCGUAGCUGGUCUGAGAGGAUGAUCAGUCACACUGGAACUGCAACAUGGUCCAGACUCCUACGGGAGGCAGCAGUGGGGAAUAUUGGACAAUGGGCGCAAGCCUGAUCCAGCCAUACCGCGUGGGUGAAGAAGGCCUUCGGGUUGUAAAGCCCUUUUGUUGGGAAAGAAAUCCAGCUGGCUAAUACCCGGUUGGGAUGACGGUACCCAAAGAAUAAGCACCGGCUAACUUCGUGCCAGCCGCCGCCGUAA